GGCCACAAGAAACUACCUUCUCUCUCUCUAUCAGUCAUCUGAUACAUGUAGAACUUGCACCUCCUCUAGUGACACAAUACAGUUAGUGCACAUUUACAACAUGAGCACACACAUUGUUCCUUCAAUAAAAAAACAAGGUUUUUUCUUUGUAUGGCACCUUUGAAGAUAAAAAUCACAAGGUUUUAUGGUGUAGAGGGAAAUAAUUCUAUGUUAAUCCUAUGUUCAUCGUCAAUGCUUGUUUUUGUUUAGUAGUUACAGGUUUUGCUCACAAGAGGGCAGUGUUAUGCCAGAAGCAAAGGGAAAGGUCACCUUGUCUCCAGGUGGAGAGAUCUGAUUAGUGUCAACCCGACAGCUGGUUCCUUUGUUUUUGCCUCAGUUUGUUUGCUCAGUGUUUGGCAACCACAGAGAUGUUUCUGGUGUGUUGACCCAAGGUGAGAUCUAAAACCUGCAGGGACACUGGCCCUCGUGGACUGGGUGUUUCUUCCCACCACAUCUCUCCAGGUCUCACUGUCAUUGCCCACGUGAGCGUCCCCCAGCAGAACGAGGGAGUGACCGGAAGGAGCACUCUCCACCACAUUCUCCAAGGACUCCAUAUGGGUGGGUAGUCUGGACUGUAGUUUGGUGCAUAAGUACAGACAACAGUAAGGACCCGUCCCCCCACAUGUAGGCAGAGGAAGGCUACCCUCUCGUUUACUGGGAUAAACCCCAACGCACAGGCACCAAGAUGAGGAGCAACUAGUAUGCCCACCUCUGCUCGGCGCCUCUCAGUGGGGGCAACUCCAUAGUUUUAGUGUCCAGCCCCUCUCCGAGUAACUGCUUCUGGAGCCAGAGCCAUGCAUCAAGAGCUCAACAUGUGCUGGAGAGGGAGCAGAUAAAGGAGGACCAAUAGAGGCCCGAGCACAGAACCUUGUGGGACACCAUGGGUG